CCAAUUCACAGUGUUGAAUUUUUUUACGUCAGUUAUUCAUUAGCACCUAUCUCUGAAUGUUAUUGCUCAUUUUUUCUGUUUGGAAUUCAACAUUGACGUUUGAAGUAUCAAGUGGUUCAUUUGGAUUUGCUAUAUUAAAGAUCAUUAAGUCCAGUGAUGUCGGAAAAAGGGUGGGCCUCAACCACUGUGAUGACGAAAAAAGUAUUUGAAAUAAAAAGUACCUGAUUCUAAACUCUAACCAAAAUUCAAGCAAAACCCUUGGCAAAACUUAACCCGUAUCUGAAAAAUGGAUGCCGAAAUGAAUAUCCAGAGUGGUCUUUCCAACGAAAAUAUGUCGACUUGGGCGGAAGUUGAUGGUGCCGCGACUCAGCUAAAGAUCAAUAUACCGGAGAAACUGAGGAGUAUUCUAAUUAUCAAUGGUUUUUCAUCUUUGAGGCUGAUUGCAGAAAUGACAUCAAGAUAUUUCCAAUAUCGAAACAUUCUCAAGGGAAAAUUUGAAGGAUAUUAUAUCUUAUGAUCAAUUGAAAAGUUAUCUUGGUAUUUUUGCGCAGUGUCCGGAAAAAUUCAUUAUCGUUGGUGGCCACAGAAAAAUUUUGGAAUUAUUGAAAGAUUUUUUCACUAAAAAACAAAAACAAAACACUUCAGAUAUUUCUUACAACCAGUGUCAAAACUGUUCGACUACAAAAAAAACCUGAGUAGGACCAAUCUCAGACCAACGUUACAACAACCAAGCAAAGAGUUCCUUAGUUCACAAAGUUCCUCAGAAAUCGAAGAGCAGUCAACAAGGUCUAGAUCUCGAUCUCCUAGUAUCAGAUCUUCGAAUAAAAAUAAACAGAUUGAGACUAAUGCUUUCCUAUCAAGAACUUUGAAGUCGUGGGCAAAAUCAAAAUGUACAGGUGAAAUAUGGGCUAAUAUUUAUCAUAAAAUGGAUGAUAUAAUUUAUUCUUGCAACAUAGAUAGUGAAGCUUGCAAUAUUCAUUGUUUUUGUGUGACAGGAAUAAAAAUUAUCAAGUCUAAAAGCUCUGAUACUAGGCAAUCAAAGUGGAUAUAUGGCAAUUACUACAAGCAUUUCAUGAAGCAUUUGAAAAACAAUGACGAAUCUACCGAGAAAAAUACGGAUGCCGAUCUAGUGAAGGAAAAGAAAGUUGGGAGAAAAGUUGUACCUAUUACAAAUUUUUUCAAACAGGCCCAACUUCAGGCUCACUCAUCUUCUACAUCUAUUGAGAAACCUAAUGUGAAUAUUUUGUCACAAGUUACAUUAGAUGUUCCCUCGGAUGCUCCUUUUAUACAAAAUUCUGAGCAAAAUUCUAUUUCAACGGUGAACUCACCGAGAACAAAAAUAGAAAAAAAUGCUUCUUCCAUCGAUGAUUCGAACACAGGCAACUCCUUUAUAUCCUUCAAAAACGAUGGAACCUUCAAAUUCAUCCAGCAAUGAAUCCUUUGCCACGCUGUCUGUCACAUUUCCAUCAAAAUCAAAUUUAGCAUUAGCUGAAUCAGAUUUGAAUGAGAUAGGUUACUUUCUAGCUUCUACGUCGGUUUCUGCCUCAAUUUCUUCUCUAGCUUCUAAUAAACGUUCGUCUACAGUUUACUCCAGAAAUUCUAUCGAUAGCUCUACUGAAUCAUCGGAUUCGGAUACCGAAAAAAUAUACUCUGAUCAUUCAUCCGAUUCCGAUAACGAGGAAAUAGAAAUAUUUGAAGGAAAGUUUUACGCUGUCUAUUAUGAUCAGAAAUGGUUCAUUGGAAAAAUUAUCUCCAAAUUGGACACAACGAAAUACAGAGUUAAAUUUCUUCGAGAGAAUUUAGGGGAAUUUAUUUGGCCAAAGCAAGAUGACUGUGAUAUUGUUGAUAGCUUAUAUAUUUUUUAUGGACCAGUGAGGAUGACUGGUACUACAACUUUCAAAAUUUCACGUCAUGACAAAAUCCAAAUAGACGCAUCUUAUGAAAGAUUUAGAAAAUCUUAAUGGUAUCAACCAGAAAAAUUAUAUUGCGAAAUAAGCAUCUACCUAACGCAUUUUGAUUUCAACUUAUACCAAAACGAUUGAAACACUGGCUAAAAUACCAAAUUAAGUAGUUCAUAUGUGAUAUUAUUUCAGAAAAUGUAUGUAUUUUGUGUUCCUAAUAUUCAGAGUUUGUAAUGUAAUAUUUAUAAUAUAAUAAAGAAAUGUGAUUUUG